rnacentral:rRNA from 1 species
CUCUUACAGCAAUUAUUGUAAGUAAAGCCUGCUCCAUGAARCCACUCAUUUAAAUAGCCGCAGUCYCCUGUGCUAAGGUAGCAUAAUCACUUGGCYUCUAAUUAAAGUCUAGAAUGAAAGGCUCAAUACUUUAAAGCCUUUAUUUUUUAUAUCAUGUUAAUUUUGACUAAAAAUAAAAAUAUUUUUUUWWAAAAAAAAGACGAUAAGACCCUAUUGAACUAAACUUUUGUUCAACUGGGGAAGUUAAAUAAUUAUACUUUUAUUUUAAAUARACGCUUAGAAGACCCAAUAAAAUUGAAAAUUUGAAUAAGUUACCAUAGGGAUAACAGCGUAAUAAAUUUCUAUAGCUCUUAUAUCAAAAUUUGAUUACGACCUCGAUGUUGAAUUAUUUUAACUUUUUAAUGCAAUAAUUUUAAAAGUAAGUCUGUUCGACUUGUAAAAAUUUACA